rnacentral:lncRNA from 1 species
GUUCCGAAUCAAUUAGAAAAUCUCUCUGGAUCGUGUUCGUCUUCAGCGGCCUGAUUCGGCCUCGUCACUGGUCACGGGACCCGGCCUCUCUGGAUCGUGUUCGUCUUCAAAUCCGUUGCUCUCUUCUUAGCCUACUGGAUUUUGAGGAAGAAGGGAAGAAAUCCAAAAAUCUGCUGUUCAUUCUCCAUCAAUCUGGAAAAAUCUAGAGAAACGAAGAAGGGAAGAAAGAAGGGGCUGAACAAUCCCUAAAAUGGGGUACCGUCGCCGUGAUUUUACCGCCGCCGUCCUGGAGCUUCGAAGAUGUUUUCCCCUCAAGGCCGGUGCCGCUCCGCCUGGAAACGUCGCCGCCGCCGCAGUCUGAAUUAGAAGGCCGCCCACCAAGCAAUCUCUUACCACAGGGCUCAAAUCGCCGCCCCUUAUCCACCGCCUGCGUAAAAACCGCGCACCACCGCAGUGCAGAAGCUAAAUACACCGCAGAUCAUUGGUCACACUUCUGCGGCUAUCUCUGAAUCUCUGGGAGUUUCGAUUUCCUAAACCUUAGCUAAGUCUCUGAUGGGGAAAGGGUCUUUACUUGGGCCAAUCUUUGAGCAACACCCUGCAUAUCGUCGACAACUGACGGAGGGGAAAACCCCUAAUUUUCUUAGCUAAUAUGUAUCUCUCAUCAAUUUUGUGCAAAUCUUGGUUAACCUUGUGUUUUUAUCGUGUGUUUAGGGUGCAAUCUAUCCCCAACUCUGAUGAAAUCCUGAAAUCGGGAUUUAUAAUCACCGUCGACGCAGGAACGGCUCCUUUCUCUCGCUGACAACCAG